AUGGUUGAAGUGGUGCUUCUCAUCCUGCUCCGUUAUGUUAGUUUCACAUUUUCCGUUACCACAGAGCUCAAAUAUCGUCAUCCUAGCUCUCCACCUCACAUGACGCAAGCCCUAGGGAACAACAAAUAUCCAGAGCUCAACUCUAGACUGUUUCAAGGAGAUUAUUUGUACCUCCCAUCGAUGAGGGAAGGAACGCCAUCCGCCAAGAUACCUAUUUGUGGCCGAACGGAAUCGUGCCCUACACUUUUGACAGCAGCUACAGUAAGUCAAGUUUUACCCUUUUUUGCAACAAGUUUGACGCUAACAUUACAACGCAAUACUGCCGUGCUAAGGAAGAACGCCAUAUGGACAUUCGAGAGUUGCCAAAUUUCCUUCGAUUAAAUGUUUAUUUUUGAGGAAAGUUAUGAAGAUUUUUCCUUGAAAUUUUCAGGAACUUAGGUGUAAAUGCGAACAAUUUAAUAUGAAAAAUUGGAGGAAAAAUAUUCGCCAAUUUUUCCGAAAAUUUUUGAUUUACCAAGGAGAUUUGGCAACGCCUGAAGGUUCAUACUGCGUUUUUCCUUAGCUUGGCAAACUGCCACGAAGCAUUGGAAGAGAGACGGAGCAAAGAAGGAAUACCUGGCUUUCCCAUUUCCGAUUUUUUUUUCCAUUUUCCCCUUUAGUUUGUCGUAUGUGGUAAUUUCAGUUAGCAUGGGCGUAGCUAGGGGGGUCCUGGGGGGCCUGGCCCCCCCAGAAAUCUCGUGCCCCCCCAGAAAAACGGAGACACAAACUCGGACAAAUGCUUUCUUCUUUAUGCUACAUUAUAUACGUGACUGUUGUUUUUUUUUCGAGUGAAUAAAGUCUAAAGAUAAAGAACCCAAUUUGAUUAUGAAGUCUGUGCUAUUACUUCCUGACUCAAAUUAUCCCUCUAAGUAUUCUACAUAAAUGAAAUGUCAUGAAAAACAUGUUUAUUUCACACUCUAAAGACGUUUACUUUAAAAACAAUCCGGUGGGGGGGGGGGGCGCUACCUCUUAAGCUUGGAAUCCUCCAUUCCUCACCCCCCCGCGCUCUCUUCACUACGAGAGGUGGUCCCAUGCCCCCCCCCCCCCAGAGAAGUUUUUCUAGCUACGCCCCUGCUCAUUAGGCAACUUGUAACUUUUUUUAAAUGGGUCUUUCAUGUUAGCUGGUCAAAUUUUAACCAGAGGCCCACCGAGAAAUCGGAAUAAUGUAGAGGUAGGCCCUUCGGACCCCCCUCUUGACUGGGGAGUAUCGUACCCCCCAGACUCCCCGUUAGUAGGUGAUCAAGCUUGAUUUAGUUAGUGUAGUGCCCGCUACCGUGGUACCGUGCUGUCGUGCUGAGGAAAAACGUCGUAUGAACAUUCAAGAUUGCCACAUUCCCUAAGAUAAAAUGCUCAUUUUUGAGGAAGACAUGAAUAUUUUUCCUUGAUAUUUCAGGAACUUUCGGUGAAAUUGCGAAAAAAAUUAUCUGAGAAAUUGACAGAAAAAUAUUCAUAAGUUUACCAGGAAAUUCGUGCUUUAUCAAAAGAAAUUUGGCAACGCCUGAAGGUCCAUACGGCGUUUUUCCUUAGCAUGGCAGCGUGGUGCUCUUCGUCGUAGCAUCGGCAAAUGUUACAUCCGCAUGGGAAGGAAAAGUUCUGUGACUGCGUUCGCCAUCAAAAUGCCCCGCACCUACCCAAUUGAGAUCAGUAUCAAUGAAAAGCCUGUCUUAGUGAUUCUGUAAACAGGCUCUUUACUUUAAGGCUGGAGGUUUCGAAAGGAGGGUAUGGAUUCGAUCGACAUGAAUCGAUUCCGAGAGCAAAUUGACACGACUUUCGAUCGACAAGCGAAAAAGCGGUGUCGAUUCGAUCGAUUCACAGGUUUUUCGAUCGAUUCACAGGUUUUUCGAUCGAUUCAUGGUUGUCGAUUGAUUUUGUGUCGAUCAAAUCACGCCGAUCAGUUCACGUCUUUAUUUAUCGAUCGCGAUUCAUGUCGAUCGAAUCAACACAGUUUUUUUUCAAAAAUUUUUCGAUCGAAUCUGUGUCGAUCGAAGCACACUUUUGCUUUUCGAUCGAUAUUCAUGUCGAUUGAUCCGCUUUGUCAAAUCCAUACCCUGCGCUUCGAAAGGGUUCAUUGAACAAUUAAACUUCCUUUUCAAUAUUAGGAACCACCAAAACUGGCUUCUUUUAGGAAAGGAACAAUGUAUGUACCUUUGGUUUCCUUAUGCACACAAGUGUUUUUACAGAUGAGACAGAAAUUGUAGUUACGACUGGCGAAAUGAAGUAUAAAUGAAUACGCCAUUACACCGCUGAGCAACGAGGAAGUCUACAUGUAAAGUCGUUUCACUUCAUGCUUCUAUUCAAAAUUAUUUAUUAAAAUAUGAUAUUAUGUAAUUUUUUAUCAUUUGAAAUGACAAAUUCCAACAACUGUAGAAAACACCAAAAUCAUACGUUGAAAAACAGCUGACGCCGCCAGUUUUGAAUAAGCGCGUGAAACACAGUGCGGCCAGCGCAGCGCAGAGCUGACGCAUACAGCACGGAGCGCAUAUUAGCGCCUUACAAGACCGCAGGAUACUUCAUGCAUUGCGCGAACAGCUCGGACCGCGCAAGUGCCUUACAAGUCUGCAGGAUACUUCAUGCAUUGCGCGCAUACCACGGUACGCGCUCAAGUCGUUUGAAAGUCGCGAAAAAAAGUCCCGAAACCUUAGAAUUAUUAACAUACCAAUGAGGACAUCUAGAGGUCCCUGUAUAGCUUUAAACUCCAAGGCCCGAUUUUUCAAAAUAGUUCUGAAGACUACGUUUUUAGCUGGUUAUCAAUUAAGUUGUUCCAAUUAUUUCAAUUUGUAUAACAGAAUUAUAUCGUUAAUCACAAUGGCUACAAUACGAUAAAUGGCACGGAAACCCUUUUCUUUCUGGAUUUUUGGGGUGUAAUUGGCAGGCUUGGCAACAAUUGAUACUCAUUACAACACUAGUAAAAGCAUCUGCCCCCCCUCCCCCGCCCCAUCAAAGCCACAAAUGUGCA
rnacentral:lncRNA from 1 species